GUAAUGUUGGGAAGCAGGUUUCUCUCCAGGCUCCGGGGCCUGGAGUUGGAGGCUAAUGUCUGGAGCUGUGCAGAGGUAGGGAGACACGGGGCUCUGGGGGCCAAAGGGCAUGAUGCCGAGGGCCUGGUGUGCUCCGCCUGGCCUAAGCCUACCGAGGAGGAGCCCAUGUGGGUCCAAACAGUGAUCUAGCUUCUGAGUAGAGAAGGCUUAAAAUAGUGGUAAUCAUUCCAGCAGCUGCCGUUUGCUGAGCGCUUGCUGUGAGCAGGCACCCUGCCAAGAGCUCUUCAUGUGUGACCUCAUGUCCACCUCUCUCCCUGGGAGCCAACGGCUCUUGAGGACACUUGGUUAUGGCGUCCCCCCUGGAACACUGGGCCUCAAGCAGCACAACUAACGCUCAUGGGACACUCACCGUGUGCCAAGCCCUUGCAUGCACUUCACCUCGUUGAAUCCGUACAGCCGUAUUUUGGGCAUCCUGAUUCCUGAGAAGAAAA
rnacentral:lncRNA from 10 species